UGUCAUCCCUGCUCCUACUCCGGGCUGUGGGGUCAGUGCGGAUAUUCAGUCAUGAAGUCAAGGUAGGGACUUCUGCAACGUGGCCGGCAAGACUGUUUGUGUUGCGAGGGCUGGACUUCCAGGUGAUUUUACAACAAGAUGCUGCUCUCCACAGGGAUGCUUAUGUUGUCAGUCACACAAGUCUACACCAUCUUGACUGUCCAGCUCUUUGCAUUCUUAAACCUACUGCCUGUAGAAGCAGACAUUUUAGCAUAUAACUUUGAAAAUACAUCUCAGACAUUUGAUGACCUUCCUACAAGAUUUGGUUAUAGACUUCCAGCUGAAGGUUUAAAGGGUUUUUUGAUUAACUCAAAACCAGAGCAUGCGUGUAAACCCAUAGUGCCUCCACCAGUAAAAGAUAAUUCAUCUGGCACUUUCAUUGUGUUAAUCAGAAGACUUGAUUAUAAUUUUGAUACAAAGAUUUUAAAUGCACAGAGAGCAGAAUACAAAGCAGCCAUAGUUCAUGAUGUUGAUUCUGUUGACCUCAUUAGCAUGGAAUCUAACAACAUUGAGGUACUAAAGACAACUGACAUUCCAUCUGUCUUUAUUGGUGAAUCAUCAGCUAAUUCUCUGAAAGAUGAAUUCACAUAUGAAAAAGGGGGCCACCUUAUCUUAGUUCCAGAAUUUAGUCUUCCCUUGGAAUGCUACCUAAUUGCCUUCCUUGUCAUAGUGGGCAUCUGUCUCAUCUUUAUAGUCAUUUUCAUGUUUUUGGCUAUUACAAAUAAAGCUGACAUGGACAUUUGUUUUAUGGAAAUAUGCUUUAAUUUCUAUUGGAUCACAAAUUUUUUCCAGGAUAGACAUAGAGCUAGAAGAAACAGACUUCAUAAAGAUCAACUUAAGAAACUCCCUAUACAUAAAUUCAAGAAAGGAAAUGAGUAUGAUGUAUGUGCCAUUUGUUCAGAUGAGCAGGAAGAUGGAGACAAGCUCAGAAUCCUUCCCUGUUCCCAUGCUUAUCACUGCAAGUGUGUAGACCCUUGACUAACUAAAAACCAAAAAAACCUGUCCAGUGUGCAAGCAAAAAGUUCCUUCUCAAGGCAAUUCAGACUCUGACACAGAUGGUAGUCGAGAAUAAAAUGAAGUGACAGAACAUACUCCUUUAGUUAGACCUUUAGCUUCUGUCAGUGCCCAGUCAUUUGGGGCUUUGUCAGAAUCCCGCUCACAUCAGAAUAUGACCAAAUCUUUAGACUAUGAGGAAGAUGACAAUGAAGAUACCAACAGUAGUGAUGAAGAAAACGAAACUAAUGAACAUAAUGUUGUGGUCCAGUUGCAACGUAAUAGUGAAUGGGAUUACAACAUAGCAAAUACUGUUUGACUUUCAGAAGAUGAUUGGUUUAUUUCCCUUUAAAAUGUUUAGGUAUAUACUUUAGUUUGAUUUUUUUACUCCCUUCAAAGAUUUCCAUAGAAAUAACUUAUUUUUUAGUAUUCUACAAUUUAAUAAAAUUGCUGAAAAAGGACUUUUGAUCUGGUGUUUAUCUGCAAGAGUGUACUUCUUCACUAAUAAUAAUAGACUGGUGCUGUAACUCAAGCAUCAUUUCAGCUCUUCUUUUGGAAUGAAAGUAUAGCCAAAACA